GAUGAACGCUAGCUACAGGCUUAACACAUGCAAGUCGAGGGGAAACGCCAUCGAAAGCUUGCUUUUGAUGGGCGUCGACCGGCGCACGGGUGAGUAACGCGUAUCCAACCUGCCCAUCACUUGGGAAUAACCUUGCGAAAGUAAGACUAAUACCCAAUGACAUCCCACGAAGACAUCUGAAUGGGAUUAAAGAUUUAUCGGUGAUGGAUGGGGAUGCGUCUGAUUAGCUUGUUGGCGGGGUAACGGCCCACCAAGGCAACGAUCAGUAGGGGUUCUGAGAGGAAGGUCCCCCACAUUGGAACUGAGGCACGGUCCAAACUCCUACGGGAGGCAGCAGUGAGGAAUAUUGGUCAAUGGGCGAGAGCCUGAACCAGCCAAGUAGCGUGCAGGAUGACGGCCCUAUGGGUUGUAAACUGCUUUUAUAAGGGAAUAAAGUGGGUCUCGUGAGACUUUUUGCAUGUACCUUAUGAAUAAGGACCGGCUAAUUCCGUG
rnacentral:rRNA from 1 species